ensembl:lncRNA
ACUUGUCUUAACCUGACACUGGUCUUGGGUCAUGAGGGUGGUCUAGCAGGAGGCAGGGUUAGCAGCCAAAACAUAAUCCAUGUUCUUGACUCCCCCGUAGAGAGCCAGCUCCUUGUAAAUGUGGAGGUACUGCAAGAGUCACCUUCAGGCUCCUCCCGGGAAUAGCCAACUGUGGAAAACCACCCUCAGGGACAGGGUAGAGGAAUGCAUAAAAGCCCAGCAGAGCUCUUCCUGGACUAAUUCCUUCCCCCUGCUUGCUGGUUGCCUCAAUCCUGAGGAAGCAUGAUGCUCUCCAAGGUUCUGGUGAUCUCUAUCUUGUGUGCUCUGGGUAUGGCUUUCCCCAGAGUGAACAAAGGCUCAUCCAUUGAAGAACUACUAAAUUUAGCUAUUGAAAGUGAAGAACGACUGAAUUUAAUCAUUGCCAUGCUAAAGUCAACCAAUAAUCUACCCACACCAAUUGAGAAAGAGGUAAAAGAUAAACGACACAAUGACAAACACAAUGAUUCAACUGCUGACUUUAAGCUCUCUCUGGACUUCAUGUCAUUCACAGAAGAGUAUGACAACAGCACACAGAUUUCUGUAUCUACUCUUGAGGCUGAGACAGUCCCCACCAUUUUCCUGGAAGAAACCACUGAGAUCCCAGGUAGGAGCAGUCUAUCUUUAAAAUUGCUGGCAUUCCUCUCCAUGCCCUUUUCUUCUGUCUCACUGCUGAGAGAGGUCCUGUAUUUACUCCAGUUGGGAAAGUUGCUGCUUUGAUCUUUAAGGUGGAGUGAAUUUUACCAAAAGUUCUUUGAAACUCGAGGAAUAUGUAUUCCACUUUCCUGGAAUAUUUUCAACAGAAGACACCUGUUGGUGACAACAAAGCUUGUUGUCAGUCACCUGAUCUAAGGAACAAGCCCUGGGCAGCUCUAGAGGGCUAGCUCCUUGGGUAUCCAUGGGCUUGGAAAUGUGGUUAGGAAGAUAGGAUUAAUCACCCCCUUUUCUAUUGCAGUGGAUACAAUAUAUUACAGACAGACAGUAUCCGGCUCAAAAUUUUGAUAAGUGUAAACGUCCUUUAUAUUUGGACUCAACAAAAGCAAAGGGGAUUCAAGACUUCAUGAGUUAAUCAAUGGAUCUCUUUGGCACUCUCAUUUAUAUGAUCUAUCUAUCUAUCUAUCUAUCUAUCUAUCUAUCUAUCUAUUGACAGGGUCUUUCUAUGUUGCUCCAGCCCUGGAACUUGAUAUGAACACUGGGCUGGCCCUGAACUCACAGUGAUCUGCCAGCCUCUGCCUCCUGGGUUCUGGGAUUAAAGGUGUGAGCCGCUAUACCCUCUGCAUUUUCACAUCUUUCUGUCUAGCACUUAGUGAAGCGCUCAUAAAAUUUCACGUUUUCUUCCUCUAAGACAAAUGUUGGUAGCAUGAGUGAAUGAUACUUAAAGUGAAUGGAAACCAUUUCUGUAUCUCAUUGCAGGCGGGACCCCCACCUUCACUCGAAAUCUUGACUUUACAGCAGAGUAAAGGUUCCAUUUGCUGAGGCAAUCAUUGCAGUCUCCUCAACGUUCUGAGAAGACUCCAACUUUGAAACAAGCCCACUGGUAGCCUUCUGGAUAGUGUGUCAUUGUAGAAAACAAUGGAAGUCUGAGAUGCUCCCAACAAAGAAGGAAGAGUGCGGAAGAAGUGGCUCUGGAUAGGAUUGAUGUGUCAGGCGUUGCCUUUACCUUGUGUAGACUUAAUAAAUAAAUGUUCAUGGGAAUCAUGUUUUGAGAAUAGUUUUUAUUUUAGAGGGAAAGGAUUGCUUAGCUGUUUUGAUAAAUGCACACACAAUAACUUUAUCUCUCUCUCUGGCACACACUGUCCUGACACAUCUCAGGAUCUAGCGAUUGUAGUGUUCCCACUUGGACAAUCCUCACUAUCUAAAAUGAAAUGGCUUGUGGGCUGGUGAGAUGGCUUUAGAGGGUAAAGGCACAUACCCUGGGUCUGACAGCCCAAGUUCAUUCCCUAGAACCCACAUGGUGGAGGGGAGAAAUGACUCCCACAAGUUCUCUUCUGACUUCCUCACCAAUAAAAAUAUAUUUAAUGUCAACUGAUUUACA